rnacentral:rRNA from 1 species
CCUACGGGCGGCAGCAGUGGGGGAUAUUGGACAAUGGGGGGAACCCUGAUCCAGCGACGCCGCGUGAGUGAAGAAGUAUCUCGGGAUGUAAAGCUCUAUCAGCAGAGAAGAAGAAAUGACGGUACCUGAGUAAGAAGCUCCGGCUAACUACGUGCCAGCAGCCGCGGUAAUACGGAGGGGGCAAGCGUUAUCCGGAAUUAAUGGGUGUAAAGGGAGCGUAGAUGGUGAUGUAAGUCUGGAGUGAAAGGCGGGGGCCCAACCCCCGGACUGCACUGGAAACUAUGUGACUUGAGUGCAGGAGAGGUGGGCGGAAUUCCUGGUGUAGCGGUGAAAUGCGUAGAUAUUAGGAAGAACACCGAUUGCGAAGGCGGCUCACUGGACUGCAACUGACGUUGAGGCUCGAAAGCGUGGGGAGCAAACAGGAUUAGAUACCCCUGUAGUC